AUUUAUUACUACUGGGCUUUCACACUGCAAGGUGCAGAAUUACUUCUUAGACAGAACACUAUGAAUGCUUCAACAUAGGGAGCUGACAGUUCAUGUCACAACUGGAUCAUACAAAGGCAAGAGAUGAAGUUAAAUGCAAAUAUCCUCUAUGCCUUCUACCCCCUUUCUCCUUUUGCCAGUGUGAGACAGUUUUACUGCUAUGAAAAGUCUUUCUGGCCGCUGUCAUUACAGAUGUGACUCACAGGUUCUGAAUUGAGUAAUCAGCACACUUCAGAGGAUGGAAUAUCUCUGAGCUGCUGAUCCAAGGGACAACGCUUGAGACCCUGUUCUCUUUUCUCACUAUUUCAUCACAAC